rnacentral:hammerhead_ribozyme from 1 species
AUCCGGCUGCCGAGUCCCAAAUAGGACGAAACGCGAGUUAAAUUGGAU